rnacentral:lncRNA from 1 species
GCAGCUUCAACUCCAAAUGUAAUGAAGUUGCAAACACGAUGCAGACCUUGCACGUGGCAGAACUCAACAGGCGUGAGUUUCUUUCUCCUAUUCUGAUUAACUGAAUGUUCUUCCAAAGCUGAAAGAAUUACAAUCAGUAACUAGAAUGAGCUAAUGCAUCUUCUUUUCUAAACUUUAUCAGAUGAAUGCAUUCAAAUAGUUUGGUUUGUUUUUCAAAUCAGAGAGCACUGAGUGCUACAAAGAAAAGUAGAAGUCUCUCAUUCCAUCUCUGGUCCCACUCCUGAGUUAAAACAAAUUUCAAAUCA